GUACUGAUGAAGAGUCCCGAACUAGAACGAAACAGUUGUCCAGUAC
rnacentral:hammerhead_ribozyme from 1 species